CCAUGUCCACCCAUUUCCAUUGCAGUGGUCGAAAUGGAAUUCAAAGAAACCAAUAGUUUUAGUUUGGAUUGGGACCAGAAUUUCACUGCCGAAGUGAUCCAAUUGAUGGACGCCAUUGAAGCCACUCUUCAGUCCUCUUCAUCUUCUUCUCCAUCUUCUCUCGUCAAGAAACGCCAGUCCACCAGCCUCCAAGAAAACAACCCCCAAACCUGCCGGAAAUUACCUGAUUCCAUUGUCUCUCCACCACCUUCAUUUCCAUUUUCCUUCUCACGCUGUCAAGCUCGUCCAAGGUUUAGAUAUCCGCUAUUGAGAUUUGGAGGUCAAAUUUUGUAUAGCAGAACAGAAGCUGAGGUAGAAAAAGCUGCAAUGGAGCUUUUGAAAGUUCUUGAAAUCCAGAAAAAAGAAAUGGGUCAAGUUUCUAUAGGGUUUGAUAUUGAGUGGAAACCCUCUUUCCAAAGAGGUAUUUUGCCUGGGAAGGCUGCAGUCAUGCAGAUAUGUUGUGACAAUAGGUAUUGUUAUGUGAUGCAUAUUAUUCAUUCUGGAAUACCUCAAAGUCUGCAGGUUCUCCUUGGGGAUUCCACAAUUAUAAAAGUUGGAGUUGCAAUUGGUGGCGAUGCUGUCAAGGUGUUCAGUGACUAUAAUGUAUCUGUCAAAGCUGUGGAAGAUCUUUCAUAUCUGGCAAAUCAGAAGCUCAAUAGCGAUCCCCAAAAUUGGAGUCUUGCAGCCCUCACUGAGAAGCUUGUUUGCAAAGAGCUUCCGAAGCCCAAGAGAAUUAGGCUGGGAAACUGGGAGUUGUAUCCUUUAUCCAAGGAGCAACUACAGUAUGCAGCAACAGAUGCUUUCGCUUCAUGGCACCUAUAUCAGGUCUUAAAGAACCUCCCUGAUGCAGUAAAGGAUCCGGCAGGUAAAAGUAAAGGUAUUCUAACACAAUGAUUUUCGUUGUUUUAACAUUUUUUUGUCUAAUAUCCUUAUUAAGUUAAAGAUUUGGGGUUUGCCACCAUUCUGUUUUAAUUCAAGGCAGAGUUCUCUUAGUUUCAUAGAGAGAAGCGAGCCAAAGGCCAAGAAACAAAGAGCUUAACUAUGCCAUGUUCCAGCAAAGAUGAUUCGCGUCGUCAUUCGGAAUCUAAUAUCUGUGUUUCAGAACAAACAUUUUAUUUUUAUCGAUUUAGCAUGAUCUAUUUAUGUUUAUUUGUUUGUCAAAUACUCCUUGUGCCUCUGCCUUUCAUGUACCUUCAAUGUGCUGAAUGAGUUUAUCCAUGACAUAAUGAGUUCGGGUUUUAGCCCAUGCCUUUGUUGCUUGGAUUUAAAGGUAACUGGUUCUUUUAAAGAUAACUGCACACUUCAACUGAAGUAAAUACGGAUUCAGAAAAACAAAAUCUUUGAUCAAAGCUAACAUGUCCUAAUUUCUGGUCCAUAUGAACCUCCAUUUUCUCUGGUUGUUACUCAAAAAUCUAACAAGCCACAUGCCUAAGCACGUGGCUAAGAGAACAACCAUUGGGACCUUCCUCUUUGGAGC